CAUGCCGUAAACGAUGAGUGCUAAGUGUUGGGAGGCUUCCGCCUCUCAGUGCUGCAGCUAACGCAUUAAGCACUCCGCCUGGGGAGUACGACCGCAAGGUUGAAACUCAAAGGAAUUGACGGGGGCCCGCACAAGCGGUGGAGCAUGUGGUUUAAUUCGAAGCAACGCGAAGAACCUUACCAGGUCUUGACAUCUAGCGCAAUCCGUAGAGAUACGGAGUUCCCUUCGGGGACGCUAAGACAGGUGG
rnacentral:rRNA from 1 species